rnacentral:rRNA from 1 species
CGGCAACAGCUCAAAUUUGAAAUCUGGGUCUUUCAGAUCCCGAGUUGUAAUUUGUAGAGGAUGCUUCGGCUUACGCCCCGGCCUAAGUCCCUUGGAACAGGGCGUCAUAGAGGGUGAGAACCCCGUACGUGGCCGGCGGCUUCCGCCAUGUGAAGCUCCUUCGAC